AGUGGUGAUGAGGGAAAGAGGGUAAAAAAGAGGAAAGAAAGAGCAGGAAGAAUGAGUUUGAGUAAGAGGGACAGAGAUUUUGACAUGUACAUGCUGUGUUGAAUAGCACAUUGUGGUUUGUCCAGUCCCGGUUUUUACCAGCAGAAUUGAAUGUGUGCUGCAUGGAUGUGACUUUGUCCCCCCUAAAUUUUCACAGCCACAUUUUCAGAUACAAUCUCCCCCCACUCCCAAACACUCCCCCCACCCCACACCUUUCAAUUUCUUUUCUUACCUCUUUUCUAUAGCCAUUGCCUCUUUCUCAGUAGUGUGAAUGUAGAAUAUAAAGGUUGUUAUCAACGGCCAGGCAGAUUUUUAUUUUUAUUUUUUGAAGACCAAUCCUGUCCAGCAGCAGACAAUGUGAUCAGCUGACACUUAUUUUUAUUCUUGAGAAAAGUACUGGUACUGAAAAUGCAACUUUUUAAAUAUUUUAACACCAAAAAUAUAAAAAACUGCAUGUAAUUUUUUUUUUUCAAAAUUCAUUGAUUCAAAUAUUAAAUUCAGGUAUCUUUGGUUGCAGCUAAAAAACAGUAUUAAAUAAUUGUUUAUGUUUCAAUAAUUGUUAUUCUUAUUGUAAUUGUAUUUUACGUGCAGUAAUGUAAAGUAUUUCACACUUUUCUCUGGGACUGUAAAAGAGCAGAGCAGGUUGCACAGUGUGGUGCCUCUCAUCUUUUGUGUGCUGGUUUCUCUGUGCCAGCUUUCUGCUGUCACAUUAGUGCAUGUCAAAUGAACAAGCUCGCAUGUAAAUGUACUCUUGGACUUUUAACUUUUUAGCUUGAUCAGAGGCUUCCUUUGCAUACAGGAAGUACUUUUUAGUCUUUCAAACUGAUUUGCUAAGUGUCAUUGUGUUUGUCUUUCCUUUCUAAGUGUCUCUCAGGGGAGUUUUGGAGCAAUUAUUCACACCUGCUGCAAUGGGUGGAUCAACCAUAUGCCCAUGGACAUGCACACUCAAUGACAAAGGCGGAUACCAACAGGUCCUCUCUGACACAAAGCGCCUUGGGGCUGAGGGAGGCGGGCGAGACGAGGGGUGCAUUUUAACCUGAGACGUCCCUCACACAAUUGGAGGGAAGAUUAGCAGGAUUAAGACUGGCUCACAUAUGCUGCUCUUCACUACUGGCAUUCAUCACAACACAAGCCCAACUGCCACCCAGACGGGGAGAGAAAGAGAAAGAAAAAGAGUGAGAGUGAAAGUUUUUCUCUGAUAUUAAAGCAUUGCUACACUAAAUCAAAGCUGUUUGGAAUAAUUUUGGAAGAAAAAAAAGGCUGAUUAGUGAGAAAGGGACAGAGAAAAAAAUGUUGGAUUGUGAGAGGGUUAUGGAAGAGGAUGCAAAAGCAUUUAUGAUGGAAAAUAGCUAAAGAGGUGUAGGACAUACAGUGUGGUCAAAAAGUAUUUAUUUAUUUAUUUUUACUAAAAAAAAGUUGUGGGAUUUUGAUAAUUGUUGAAAAAAAUAUGAUGAAAAGGUUAAUACUGAGUACUCUCCAAUCCAUUUUAAGCAAGAUUGUGACACUGAUCAUGUAAAUUUUACUGGAUAACCUGAUUGUCAGCUAUUUUCAUUUUUAAAAAACUUUAAUGUACCUUUUUAUUGCUUUGUGUUGUUUUACCUUGGCAUGAAAACUUAAGGCUGCUUUGUGGGUUUUUUAUGACUAAGGGAGUGACAGCAAAUUUGGCUAAAAGCAUCUGCUAAAUACAUGAAUGUACCCCUUUUGGUCAUAUAAACAAGCAAGUAGGAAUGUAAAAAAUAUUUGUUGUGGUUUCCAUUUACCACUAUAGAAGAUUGCUCAAUGACAAAUUCUGCUUUUGAGAACCCCGGAAAAAAUUGAAGAUGUCCAUUUUAAAAUGAUUGAAAAACAGAAUCAUUUUCACUAGUGUUUUUAGUGAAUUGUAUUUAUUUUGGAAAUAACUCCCAGUUGGAUUAAUAAAACAGGAUGAGAAAAAAAAUGUCUGACUAAACACCACCUCAGUUUUACAGAACAACAAAAAAUGUUGAAGAUGUAGAAUGUGCCAUGACACGACAGUUAGAUGUAAUGCAUAGAAAGACAUGCUUUCAAGUACUGUAAAACACUGUACUCAUGUUGAGUUUGGGGUUAACCAUGCAAAAAAAAAAUGGUGACACUUAACUCCAG
ensembl:lncRNA